rnacentral:lncRNA from 1 species
CAAAGACUCAGACACAACUGAGAGACUGAACUGAACUGAACUGAACUGAAUGCUUUACUAUGGGAGGGCACAGGAUGAUGUGGGAUAGUACAGAAAGAAAUCACAACCCACACUGGAAAGUGGGGGAUGGAAGAAUGGGCCAGAGAGAGAUGUUCCUUACAGAAAUGCCUUAUAGCAGAAGGUGCAGAGGCAGGGUGGCGUUUCAGUGCUGGUGGCAGUACAGCCUUCUUUAUAAGGAUGAAUGAAGAUGAAAAGCAAGACAAAUAGAAGCGAAUGAGACACUGCUUUAUGUGAUUCAUGAUAGCUUGCCGUAAGCCUGUUAGCCUCUGCCUGGCUCUCCUCUCUGAGAAAAUAAUGGAUAGUUACAAUGUGUAUAGUGACAUUGUCAAACCAUCAGGAAUUGCUGAUUAUAGUGCUAAAUAUUGAUC